ACUGCUCAGUAACACGUGGAUGACAUGCCCUAAGGUGGGGGAUAAUCUCGGGAAACUGAGGAUAAUACCCCAUAGGUCUAGAAUGCUGGAAUGCUUCUAGGCUCAAAACUCCGGUGCCUUAGGAUUGGUCUGCGGUCUAUCAGGCAGUAGUGGGUGUAACGGACCCACUAGCCCGUGACGGAUAUGGGCCUUGAGAGAGGGUGCCCAGAGAUGGACUCUGAGACAUGAGUCCAGGCCCUACGGGGCGCAGCAGUCGCGAAAACUUCGCAAUGGGGGAAACCCCGACGAGGGAAUUCCAAGUGCUAGCACUUUGUGUUAGCUGUUCUUCUGUCUAAAAAACAGGAGAAGUAAGGGGCGGGUAAGACGGGUGCCAGCCGCCGCGGUAAUACCCGCGCCCCGAGUGGUGGUCGAUAUUAUUGAGCCUAAAACGUCCGUAGCCGGUCUUCUAAAUCCUUGGGUAAAUCGGGCAGCUUAACUGUCCGAAUUCCGGGGAGACUGGGAGACUUGGGACCGGGAGAGGUCAGAGGUACUUCUGGGGUAGGGGUAAAAUCCUGUAAUCCUGGAAGGACCACCGGUGGCGAAGGCGUCUGACUAGAACGGAUCCGACGGUGAGGGACGAAGCCCUGGGGCGCAAACGGGAUUAGAUACCCCGGUAGUCCAGGGUGUAACCGCUGCGGGCUUGGUGUUGGGGGUCCUUAGUGGGCGCCCAGUGCCGGAGAGAAGUUGUUAAGCCUGCUGCUUGGGGAGUAUGUCCGCAAGGAUGAAACUUAAAGGAAUUGGCGGGGGAGCAC
rnacentral:rRNA from 1 species